rnacentral:rRNA from 1 species
AAUGAACGCUGGCGGCGCGCCUAAUACAUGCAAGUCGAGCGAGAAGACGUAGCAAUACGUUUGUAAAGCGGCGAACGGGUGAGGAAUACAUGGGUAACCUACCCUCGAGUGGGGAAUAACUAGCCGAAAGGUUAGCUAAUACCGCGUACGCUUCUUGGACUUCGGUUCAGGGAGGAAAGCGAUACCGUGGGUAUCGCGCUCUUGGAUGGGCUCAUGUCCUAUCAGCUUGUUGGUGAGGUAACGGCUCACCAAGGCUUCGACGGGUAGCUGGUCUGAGAGGACGAUCAGCCACACUGGCACUGCGACGAC